rnacentral:lncRNA from 1 species
ACGAACCUGGGGUGAAGAUUCAAGCUGCCAGGGGGAUUUCGCGGGUUCACCCCGUCGGGGUCUCUGCGCCAGGUCUUGGUGCUUGGGUGCCGUUCGUCUGCCGGGGGGUAAGCUUCCUGCCUGUGCCACACGGUCGGUCUGCGGUCGGAGUGGGCCACGAACGUCGCAGGCAUUAGCCUCGGCUCUACCGCCGCAUACGAGGCCGCUUCUCCAGUUUUCGCUUGGGUGUUGAUGUCGUCGCCAACAGUGGUGCAUCUUCGCAUGAAGAUAGUGCAAUGUGGGCAGACUCGACCAUUGUUCCAGUCGCGGAUGCGUCUGGGGCACUGAUCCAGUUUGCUCAUCGGAACAUGGCGGUGUGGGUCGCGGGGGUCCAUCUGUGUGCCCGGAAAUUCUCACCGGUGCAUAGCCACCGCCGCUGGUUGCGCUUGACUGUCGCCAGACCAUCACGCUGCAGGGUCCACGGUGAGAAUCCCCUCAAACAAUUCCCAUGCAUAUCUAGGUUGUGUAGCGCGGAUCGAAUUAAGGAGCAGGGCCCUAGGGCGCCGACUUGGCCAACACCGGCAGGCCCGCCGCCGUGGGGGGAAAACCUGUGCGCCACCACGCUCGGCUUGGCUGGGGGAGGAAGAUUGGCUCCCUGUCGUUCGAUCGUGAACGGACGGUGGAGAUUAGCCAUGGGAAUACCUAUUGGGGGGAAUAAACCAGAGCCAUAGAUCUAGAUCCAACGGUUGUGGGCCUAUAUCGGUUCCAAGCCGCCCCGAUGUGAUCUGGACCCUCCAUCUCUAAUCGGGCAGUCCAGAUCGCGUACCCCUUCGUUGUCUAAUCUAGUCCCUGGAUCCAAGAUCGGACGGCUCUGAAUCAACGAUACCCCUUCACCCUGGCUUUCUUUCUAAAGAGCCCCUCUGUUUUCCUAGAUUCAACCCGCAGUCCACUCGGGUGUUCCCCUGAGUCUGGGGAAUUCUUACCCGAGACCCCCUGCACUUCCCAGAAAUCUGCGCCCAGUCCAGAUAAUUAAUAAAACCAGGAAAAUCAUUUAGAAAAUAGAUUUUAGUACAUAUUUAAAUGCAGAAACUUGUUUAAUUUGUAGAAAACGCAUAUGAACUCCGAAUUAACCCAUUCCAGUUUCUAUAAUUUUGUAAUAUUAUUGUUGAUCAUUUUGUGUCACAGUUUUAACAUGAAAGCCAUAUUAAAAUUGAUAUACUAAUUAAUCUUGUGCAAAACAUAUAGAAUCGUUGGAAAUCCAUAACUUAAAAUCUACAACUCCAAAAUUAAUAAUUCUUUUUCCUGUGAUCUUAUUUUAAUAUGUAGAUUAUUAAUAUGUAUUUUGCAUAUAUGUUUGUUGUGAUGUUAAUUUUGCCUAUACACUGUUUGUUUGUAUUGCUACGACUAGCAGUGAGGUCACGAGAAUCUGAAGAUCAUCCUGGUACCUGGAAUCUCAAGUCCCAGGCAAGUUGUGCCCUUGAUCACUUCUUUUUACCUACUCAUGUUCUGAUUAAUCAUAAUGAUCUGCAUAGGUUAAUUUUGAUGGGACCCAAUAGGUUACCCUAGUUUGUCUAUCUUUAUACCUUGUUUACCACUGAACUUUUUGGGUAGUACUUGCUAGUGCUUUAUGUGGUUUUGGGUAUGAAGAUACAUUAUUCAUGAUCACACUUUUAUUAUCUGUUUAUUAUCACUGUUCAUGAUAAGAUCAUUAUGUUAAUUGGAACAUGGAGAACCACCCGGGAAAACAGUGCUACCACAAGGGUUUAAUGGGACGCCCUUGGCCGAUUAAUUAGGAAAGCUAGUGGAAGACUACCUUACCCGAAAGGGGCAAGGGCAGUAGGGGAGUGGUCAGUGUAGGGAGGCCCUCGGGAGGAUUUUGCUGUGAUGGCGGUCCUGCAAGGGAUUCCUGGGAAGGCCCUCGGGAGGAUUUUGCUGUGAUGGCGGUCCUGCAAGGGAUUCCUGGGGAGGCCCUCGGGAGGAUUUUGCUGUGAUGGCGGUCCUGCAAGGGAUUCCUGCAUUGGAGCUUCCUAUAAACUGUAGCGGGUUUUCUGAAGCUAGUGGAACUUUGUAAAGGCCUCGUAGUGUUACCCUGCCUCGCCUCCUCGGUAGAGGUGUAUGGGAAGUCGCGAUCCCUUGGCAGAUGGGUAACAUGACUUGUGGGUAAAGAUGUGCAACCUCUGCAGAGUGUAAAACUGGUAUACUAGCCGUGCUCACGGUCAUGAGCAGCUCGGACACUCACAUGAUUAAAUUAUGGAAUUAAACUCAAUUUGUCAUAUGCAUUGCAUCGCAGGUGAGGUUGUACAGGUGAUGUUGUUACUUUUGUUCUACUACUUAAUUGGGCUGGUAUUUACUUAUACUUAGUAAUUGCUAAUAAAAUUUUGACCAACUUUAAAAGCAAUGCUCAGCUCUAACCAUCCUCUUUGGUAAGCCUUACACUUCACGUGAGCUCCCACCUUUGGUGAGUUCAUGCACAUUAUUCCCCACAACUUGUUGAGCGAUGAACAUAUGUGAGCUCACUCUUGCUGUCUCACACCCCCCCCCCCACAGGUCAAGAGCAGGUACCACAGGAUGAGGCGCGUGGAGGAUGCUGUGAUGAGUUCGUGAGUGGUCUAGGUCGUCGUCUCCCAGUCAACUUUGGGUUGCUGGACCGUUGUCUCCUUAUAAUGUAAUUAUUUAUUUUGUAUAGAACUCCUGUUAUAUAUAAAGAUGUGACAUUCGAUCCUGUGCCACUUUACAUCAUAUGUGUGAGACUUGGUCCCAGCAUACCUGGUGUUUAUGUUAGCGCCCGGGUUUUGGACCCCUAAAAUCCGGGUGUUACAGAAGUGGUAUCAGAGGAAUGUUGACCGUAGGACGAAACCUAGAUAGAACUGGAUAACCAUUCUUUACUUACCUUUGCUACUCUAAUCUUUUCUAAACUUAUCUUAAUCCUUUCUCAUCUAUUUCCGCUAUACUCUGAUCAUUCUUACCUUUUUCUUCUAAAGACAAAUGUGGAUUUCACACUUUGAAAUCCUGUGCCUAAAGUGACCUUUAGGAAUAGGAGACCUAUUCAUAGGAACCACAACAAAACUAUUUUUUUAUAAAUAUUUGUAUGCUUGAAUGUUUGUUCUUAUGAUACUUGUCUGAUUUGGAUUUUUGAUUGAGUGUGAUGAGUUGUGGAGUAAUGUCCACAAUUGCAUCUGCAUAUACUUAGGCAUAUAUAUAACUAAUCAAACUUAAAUUGUCCCUCAUUAAAAAAAUGUAUCUAGCUUAUCCAUCUUAUCUUAAAAGACUCUCUCUUGUCUCGAUAGAUCCAUCUUAUCUUACAAGAUUCUAUCUUAUCCUAAUAGGUUCAUCUUAUCCCAACCACUUUACUUAUCUCAUCCUAAAGUAACAACCAUGAUCUAAUUAAGGAGAUCUUGUCUAGUCUAUCUAGUCAUAACAAUCUAACCUAGAUCUGAUCCAACCUAGUAGGUUAAUCUAACCUAACGAAGUCUAACCUUAAGUUGAGCUAACCUAAGGACAGUCACAUAACAAGUUAACACUAGUGAAAUAAAUUGGGUCCUACUCCUAUAAAUCUUGUUCUCUCCUCAUGUACUUAAACCUAAAAUUAGUGCAUUAGACCAACUCAACCGUGAACAUAAGAGCUAACCCAACCAAUAGUGUCAUGAUGGAUUACAUAAUCUGUCUAUUCCCACCUAACAUCAAAUGAACUUUAGACCUACAUCAUGUAGUCAAUCUCAUCCAUAUAUAUCUAUCUUAACCAUAUUCCCCAACCUCGAUGAUAUACACUACCCUCGAAUCAAUGAGACCAAGACCGGAGAAGAAAAUAUCAACACCGACAAGGACGAAUAUAACAGUCAAAGCGAAUCUCGAGAUGAAUCAAGACUUAAACAUUUUAGAUGAAGUCUUUUCCUUGCCAUAAUCUUUCCUACCUCAACCUGUCCAACUUAUAUCCUACAUAAUAAAUUAGCUGAAUACCUAUGCUCUCCUAAUCACCCACUACUGAAAAAAAUGAUAAUUUGGAUUUUGAACCAAUUAUAGAUUAAAAGCUGAAUUACAAACCAAUCCUUCUGUAUCCCUUUUUCUACAAAUCUCGAGGACGAGAUUUCUGUUAAGGGGGUAGGAUUUGUAGCACCUAAAAUCUCAUUUUGAAAAAAAUUUGAAAAAAAUAAAUAAAUUAAUAAAUAAAAUAAUAGUAAAUAAACCCUCUAAAGGUUUCUGGUGCUAGAAAAUCCUCCAAUAAAAAUUUUUUCUUACAUGUGGGACAACACCACAUAACAUAAUUAUGUUUCCAAUAAAGAUUUAAAAUAAUCUCCAUAUAAAUUUGUUACUUUAUUGAAAUAUAUUUAUAACUAUUCACUAAAGAAAAGUACAAACUAGAAAUGAUAUUUUUCAAAUACCUAUUCUCUAUUUUAGUGUGUAUGAGCUUUAUAUUUGAAAGCAUUUGUCUAAAUGGGGAAAUUAAUUAAUUAAUAAGUUAUUGUCACCUUCAUAUUGGAGUUUUGACUUUAAAUUUAUUUUGAAUUUUAAACCUAAAAUCUGAGUUUGAAUUUGGAAUACCUUGUAACAAGGUUUUCUUUUGUGAAAGCAUUUCUUAAUAGGAUUAAUAGAUAAAUAAAUAGAUGAACAAAAUGUUGAUGCAUCUCAUGCUGGAAUUUUCGCCUCUGCAUUUCAUUUUAAAAUUUGAGCUUUGACUUGAAUUUGAGUUUGUAAAUGCAAAAGAAAAUAGGAAAAGAAAGAAAUACAAAAAAGAAAAGAAACCCCCCUCCCCGUAUUGGGCCAACAGCGCUGGCAGCCCAACACAGUCUGCUGCGACCGCGCCCUGGCCGACCAGCUCCUGUCCUUUCUCUCACAGCCGUGUGGGCCCAUGUGGUCGGUCUUCUUCCUCGUUGGAUUGCGUUAGCAAACGGCUGAGCGAAAAUUGAGGGACUGCCCAACCAAACGGACUCCGCUGGUCUUGCAUUGAACCCGCCUGGAUCCUCGUGUCCUUAGGAUAUAUAAGCAGACCUAGGUAUUCUUCCCUGAACAGCUCAAACUACCACGAACCUGGGGUGAAGAUUCAAGCUGCCAGGGGGAUUUCGCGGGUUCACCCCGUCGGGGUCUCUGCGCCAGGUCUUGGUGCUUGGGUGCCGUUCGUCUGCCGGGGGGUAAGCUUCCUGCCUGUGCCACACGGUCGGUCUGCGGUCGGAGUGGGCCACGAACGUCGCAGGCAUUAGCCUCGGCUCUACCGCCGCAUACGAGGCCGCUUCUCCAGUUUUCGCUUGGGUGUUGAUGUCGUCGCCAACAGUGGUGCAUCUUCGCAUGAAGAUAGUGCAAUGUGGGCAGACUCGACCAUUGUUCCAGUCGCGGAUGCGUCUGGGGCACUGAUCCAGUUUGCUCAUCGGAACAUGGCGGUGUGGGUCGCGGGGGUCCAUCUGUGUGCCCGGAAAUUCUCACCGGUGCAUAGCCACCGCCGCUGGUUGCGCUUGACUGUCGCCAGACCAUCACGCUGCAGGGUCCACGGUGAGAAUCCCCUCAAACAAUUCCCAUGCAUAUCUAGGUUGUGUAGCGCGGAUCGAAUUAAGGAGCAGGGCCCUAGGGCGCCGACUUGGCCAACACCGGCAGGCCCGCCGCCGUGGGGGGAAAACCUGUGCGCCACCACGCUCGGCUUGGCUGGGGGAGGAAGAUUGGCUCCCUGUCGUUCGAUCGUGAACGGACGGUGGAGAUUAGCCAUGGGAAUACCUAUUGGGGGGAAUAAACCAGAGCCAUAGAUCUAGAUCCAACGGUUGUGGGCCUAUAUCGGUUCCAAGCCGCCCCGAUGUGAUCUGGACCCUCCAUCUCUAAUCGGGCAGUCCAGAUCGCGUACCCCUUCGUUGUCUAAUCUAGUCCCUGGAUCCAAGAUCGGACGGCUCUGAAUCAACGAUACCCCUUCACCCUGGCUUUCUUUCUAAAGAGCCCCUCUGUUUUCCUAGAUUCAACCCGCAGUCCACUCGGGUGUUCCCCUGAGUCUGGGGAAUUCUUACCCGAGACCCCCUGCACUUCCCAGAAAUCUGCGCCCAGUCCAGAUAAUUAAUAAAACCAGGAAAAUCAUUUAGAAAAUAGAUUUUAGUACAUAUUUAAAUGCAGAAACUUGUUUAAUUUGUAGAAAACGCAUAUGAACUCCGAAUUAACCCAUUCCAGUUUCUAUAAUUUUGUAAUAUUAUUGUUGAUCAUUUUGUGUCACAGUUUUAACAUGAAAGCCAUAUUAAAAUUGAUAUACUAAUUAAUCUUGUGCAAAACAUAUAGAAUCGUUGGAAAUCCAUAACUUAAAAUCUACAACUCCAAAAUUAAUAAUUCUUUUUCCUGUGAUCUUAUUUUAAUAUGUAGAUUAUUAAUAUGUAUUUUGCAUAUAUGUUUGUUGUGAUGUUAAUUUUGCCUAUACACUGUUUGUUUGUAUUGCUACGACUAGCAGUGAGGUCACGAGAAUCUGAAGAUCAUCCUGGUACCUGGAAUCUCAAGUCCCAGG